rnacentral:tRNA from 1 species
GGGCGAGUAGCUUAGUGGCCAAAGCACCUGCCUUACAAGCAGGCUACCGGGGGUUCGAGUCCCUCCUUGCCCA